CUCAAUCCAACACCUCCUCAGGCCUCUUCGUCUCUAAAUAAGAAACCCUAGAAGCCGCCCUCAAAUUCUCUACACCACCUCUGUUGAUGGUGGGCUCCAAACCAUCCUGAAUUCAUACCACGCAAACCCCAAGCCCUUCUAAAUCUUAUCCCCAUAUCUAUUUUCCUAAAAUCUCAAGUAAUUCCGCAAAUUCCAAAUCUAGGAAGUUCAAACCCUAAUUUAUUUUAUUUUUCUAAUUUCGCACAAGUUUCAUCUCACUUUAACCAGUAACCUAUGUAAGUUGAUUGCUCUUGACGAGAUCAAUCGGUGGGCAUUGGUUUUGGUUCUUUCUGAGAUGCAAGAUUUUGACGAACUCGUAAGAUUCCAGCCAAAUGUCUACUCCCGCCAUCGUUCAUCGAUUCGUUUCAUUUGGUCAAGACAUUCCAGCGUGAAUUGGUACUUUCCCUUCUUUUUUCUUGUGACUUUUUUAUUGUAGUAUAUUUGAUAUUUUUUAAAUUUUAUUUUUAUUUGCUUCAUUUAUUUGUCUUGUUUUCUUUAUGUAGUGGAAUCCAUCUUAAUUUGGUAGUUAAAUUAGGUUUAAUCAUAAGAGUCUGGAUUGUUUAUUUGUUUUCUAUUUUCUGAAUUUGACCUUUUUUUAUUUGAUAAUUUCUAAUUGUUUGGGUUUUUGUAUUGGCUGUGGUCAUUAUUGACCUGGCUGAGAGACCCGUUCAUUUGUGUCCGUGGGUUAAUUUGACCCAGGUUGGCAUUCUGAAUGUAAAAACAUGGAUGUCAAGGGGUAUUUUGACAUUUGGUGUUUGAGGGAAUCAUUUUCUGUUAGGAGAAUGCUUCUAGGGGAUAAGAUGAUAGUUGGUUUGAGAAGAGCAGAGGGUUUUAGAUAUUUUAAAAGAGGUAAAAAAGGAUAAAACAACCAAGAAUUCGAGGUUGGAAAGGGAAUUGGUUGGUUGGACUAGGGCUGCCUUAGGCAUGCUUAUAUAAGACCUUUUUCCCGUCAUUUUUAAGCAGCCUUUCAUACUUUAGAGAUACUAAAAAUUUCCUGCAUUUUGUUGGUUAAAACUUGCUUUGGUUCUGCUCUUGAUCUUCAUAGAUAGUCAGAAUUUUCCAAACUUCCAUAGAAUUUCUGUUGUCUAGGUUACAAAUGAUCUAAGGAAAUUGAGAUUACAUGUGCUGAAUUGAUGAUUUACAUUCUGCUAUUGGUGCCUAUUUCUUCAUUUUUCUUUUGCUCUAAACUUUGUCCCGGAUGUCUCUUGGACAUUAUCAAAUGUGAAGCUCAAACUUGAAGUAUGUUAAUUGAAUGUAUAUAUCUAAGCAUUAGUAUCAGCUUGAUGCAAUUUAGAAUCUAUCUUUUUUUUAUGCAUUUCAGUAGUUGAUACUGUAAUUUGUUCUUGUAUUCACUCAUUCUAUUGAUAAUAUGUUCCAUGAUAGGUUUGUGUUUGGACUUUAACUUUUCAUGAUAUUGGUUUGGCUAAAACUUUCCUUGUUAAGUAUAUAAUGUCUGGGCUAUUGUAGCAGGGGUUUUGGGACUCAUCUUGAUGGGUUAUGUUUAGUUCAAGUUAGUAAUGAAGUUCAGCUCGAGAUUAACUCGUAUCAUGACUCUGUUAUUUUAGGAUAUUAGUUGUAUUACUUGAAUAAAUCUAGGAACCACUGUUGAAUUGUAAUACUUAGUUCAAUAUCUGAGGUAUUUUAUUACACGUAUGAAUUCAAUGGUAGCUUAGUAGUAGUUUCAAUUCUCAAAUGUAUAUGGCCUGCAACUAAUUUUAGCAAAUGAUCUCCAUGUUCAGUAUUGUACCUAAGGCAAUAAGUUUAUAAAUGGGCCUAUUGAGUUAGCUUGCCUAAUAUGAGGGCCGAAACUGUCAGAUCCAGUUCUCUUUUGUUCUUGAGCCCAAUCUUAGGCCCAAGGGUCAUUAGCCUUGGCAUAUCAUGUGACCGUUUGGAUUCAUAUACUAGAAUGCAUUUUUGUUGUUCUCCUUUUGGCUUCAUUUUGGUUCGAAGUCGGCUCUAACUUGUUAAGUGUUUUAUAUGAUGACAAUGAAAUAUACCCCUUCUUUACUGGGAUUUCAUUACUAAAUGGUUGGGUUUAAGGCUAGUCAAUGCCGGCCAAAUCAGGUGUGUUUUGCCCUCCCUGUCUCCCCAUUUAGUUUUGUCUAAGCCCAAUCCCUAUUAGACCAUUUGCUCUCGUUUUUUCUGCAAUAAUUUAGGUUUGUAAUUGGCCCCCCAAAAAUAGUUGAAGGACUAGCAUGUAUCUCAAGUUUUUUACCGGCAGUUCAAAUCCGCCCUGUUCUUUAAAAAUAAGUAUGUCUUAGGCAUUAGUCAAACUCUUUCUUAACUAAUAAAUUGAGGUGUGCCAUUUUAACCAAAUCAUAUAUGGCCCUCUCAAACACUUUAAUUAGAUAUUAAUGAUGAAUAUUCGCAAAACAGUCUUUAGGGUCGUUUAAAAUACAAUUGUGAUUGUGUACAUAUUUGUGUGACAAAAUUAUAAUUCUACAAACCAACUCGGAGUAUGCAUUCACGCAACUUUGAUCAAAUUUUGCUUAAUAAUAAUUGGUUUUAUAGGAUGCUAAAUUAAUUUAGGAUUAUAUAGUUUGAGGUGCUCCAUCCAUAAUCUAAUCACACGUGGCCCUCGUAUUAGUUUCAUAAUUCAGAUAUAAAAAUAUCAAAUGCUCGUAGUUUCUUUAGACCCGUUUAAUAUACCAUCGUGAUUGCGUACACGUUUGCGUGACAUAAUUUUUAUCUUAAAAAGAAAAUCAGAGUAUGCAUUCACGCAACUUCGGCCAAACUCUCUCAAUAAUAACAAAGCAUUAUUAAUUGUGGACACGAUCAGGUGACAUGAUUUUUGACGCGCCAAACAAAUGAGUAAACGUACGCGUGACCCGUUUCAAGAUAAUUUCUUAAUUAAAAGCGGCUAAUACACAUAGGUUUUAAAAUCAGUAAUUUAAAAUUUUUAAUAAUCCAACCAUGGUCAAAGCGACCGUGCUAAACCACGAAACUCGGAAAAGCCUAACACUUUCUCCCAGGUUAACAGAAUUCCUUACCGAAAUUUCUGUGCUCGUAGACCGUGAAUAGAGUCAACUUCCUCAAUUCGGGUUUUAAACCAGUCACUUGAGAUACCAUAAAUUUUCCCAAGUUGCAACUUUGAUUUCAAAUAAUUAAUCUCAUUUCAAUUGCCAGUUAAAUAUAAAAAACUCCCUUAUACUCUUUUCGGGGGUAGUAAAAAGGAGGUGUGACAGCUCUAGCGACUCUGCUGGGUAACAAACUCAAAACCUCUGGUUUAGGGUUCUAGAAUUCGAGCUUGUAUAUGAUUUUUAUUUGGUUUUAUUUAUUGUUAAUAUUACUGUAUUUUGUGAAUCUCUCUACCAAUUGCUAAUUGUUUACCGCUUUAAUAUUAUUUGAGCAACAUAUAACUCUCUUCUUACGCCAUCGAUCCUCCAGUUAGCCCUUAUUCCAGACCCAAGAUAACCAAUACUAUCCUCCGGAGCCUACUUAUAAAGCUCCAGACCAUUACUUUUACACUCAUCAUUUCGACUUCCCAGGUUAGACUAAGAAACCACCUAAAAAUCUAGAUCAGGAGGAGACGUUCAGGAAGGCAAGAAUCCUGGAACAGUCAUUUAGAAAUAUACAGGGAUUGGGAGGCCAGGUGAGCGUAGCCUACAAAACUUUAUGUCUAUUCCUCGAUGUUCAACUUCCUGUGGGGUUAAAGAUCCCAAAGUUUGAUUUGUAUGAUGGAUAUCGAGACCCAAUGGCCCAUUUAAGGGGAUUCUGCAAUAAUAUGAGAGGAGCUGGCGGGAAAGAUGAGCUAUUGAUGGCGUACUUCAGCCAAAGUCUGAGUGGUGCGGCAUUGGAGUGGUACGCUUAUCAAGAUCACAGCAGAUGCUAUACAUGGGAUGAUUUGGCCUAAGAAUUUGCUCAUCAUUUCCAAUACAAUAUCGAAAUUGUUACAGAUCGAUUGUCUUUGCCAAAGAUUGAGAAAAAUCCUAGUGAAAGUUUCAGAGAAUAUGGUUUUUGCUAGAGAGAACAAGCGAUAACCCCUCCCCCCGAUGGAGGAGAGUGAAAUGGCGGAGUACUUUCUGCAGGCUCUAGAUCCUACUUACUUUGUCCAUCUAAUAUCGGUCAUAGGCAAGUCAUUCAAAGAGGUAUUAAAGAUGGGUGGCAUGGUUGAAAAAGGGCUUCAAUCAAGCAAAAUCAUUAGCUACUAGGCUAUCAAGGAAACUACCCAAGCCAUUCAUAAUGGUACUUGAGGAGUGAUCAGAAAGAAGAAGAAAGAAGAUGGUUGAUUCAAGAUCACGGCUUGGACCUAGGGGCCUAUCACACCAAUAUACCCAGCCUCAACCACAUCACCAAACCGAUGCCCAAACCCCAUAUAUUCCACCCCAACACUACUUCCCAUCACCGGAACCUUAUAUUUCUGUCCACCAUGCCUCGACAUAUAUUCAACCUCCUGCUUAUUCACAAUGGCAUGCCCAGCCCCACAAAAUACCUACCCAACUCCACAAAUGCUUACCCAUCCCCACGAGCCUACUGUAACCCUACCGGCCCAGGUUUGCAGCCAAAUCCAACAUUUAAAAAUGAGAGUUUGCAACGAAAGAAAACAUUCACCCCGAUAAGAGAAUCUUAUACCAGCUUAUUCCAUUGAUUCAGGCAGUUGGAUAUGCUGAGGCCAAUUGAGUCAAAAUUACCAAACCCUCUUCCAAAGAAUAUUUAUUACUUGAGAUGUGAACAUUGUCCUAGUAGUCCAGGGCAUGAUACGGAGAAGUGAUGGAACUUGAAAAAUUCCAUCCAAGAGCUCAUUGACACAAACCAAAUUGAAGUCUACACCCCAUAGUUGCCCAAUACCCAGAACCCAUUACCAACACAUGAGGAAACAAACAUGAUCAAGAUAGUGUAUAAAUGAGAGGACCCCAAGAAGCCUUCACAUGUUGUCAUGAUGAUUUGUUCCAGUGAGACUCAAGCCAGUUAAAAAACCAAUAGUUGAAGGAUCGGUGAACAAGUUGAGCAUGAAAAACGGUGAACCAUCUGUGUUGGUCAAGAAAAGAUCCCCAAGCGAUGUUGCAGCAAAGCAAAAAAAGUCAAUGGUUGUUCCAGGACUGGAAAACAAGCUUAUCAUAAGUGUAGAGGGCUCCUAGCCUAUGUGGAUCCUGUCAUCAUUAAGCCUAUAACCUAGUUGCUGGUAAUCAGCACCAACUCCAUCCCAUGGAACUAUGAACAGGUGAUAGUGACCUAUAAGGGAAAGGAAGUGAACGAAGAAGUCAACAAGACCUGGGGAUUAACUCGUUCGGGCAGAUGCUUUGCCCCAAAAGAGUUAAGGAUAGCUAAAACAUCAAGAAAUAACCAGUUUUAGUAAAGAAAGCAGUCACUGAAGAAGAUGAGGAGGAGUUUUUGAGAAAGAUGAAGGUAUAAGAAUAUUCCUUCGUGGAACAGUUGAGAAAGACGCAUGCUCAGAUCUCCUUGCUAUCAUUGCUGAUCCAUUCAAACAAGAAUCGUUGGGCCCUGAUGAAAAUUCUAAAGGAAGCUCAUGUGUCCAGCAAAAUUUCAGUGAACCAUUUGGAAAAGAUCACCAACAAAAUAUUUGAAGUGAACAGGGUCACCUUCUCUGAUGACGAGUUGCCUAUGGAAUGUACUGAACACAACAAAGCUCUCUAUCUUACGGUGAAAUGUGAAGAUGAUAUAGUCAUCAGGGUAUUAGUUUACAAUGAUUCCAGUGCAAACAUCUGCCCUCUCUCUACCCUAAACAAGUUGAAAUUUUACGAUGAAAGGUUUCACAAAACAACAUAUGCGUCCGAGGUUUUCUAUGGUGGAGGAAAAGAAUCGGUUGGUUAUAUAUUGCUUUAGUUGACAAUAGGACCGAUGGAAUUCACCAUGAAGUUUCAGCUACUGGACGUGGUCAUCUCCUACAAUUUACUGUAAGGUCGACCUUGGGUUCAUGCCGCCAAAGCAGGCCCAUCCACUCUGCACCAGAUGGUCAAGUUCGAAUGGGAUAGAUAGGAGAUCGUCAUGCAUGGUAAAGAUAAUUUAUAUGCUCACAUUGAUGCGUCUGUCUCGUUCAUUGAGGGUGAAGAUGAUGAAGGGCCUUGGGUCUAUCAAGUUUUUGAAAUAGUGCCGAUCGAGAAAGUUCUAGAAGGGAAAUGUAUUCCAACUCCAAAAGAUAACCUCCACAUCAGUCAUGGUGGCCUUUGAAAUGCUGAAGAAUCGCUUUGUUCCCAGUAAAGGCCUGGGUGCAUCUCUGCAGGGUAUCGUACAACCAGUGCCCCUCCAUGAAAAUUUGGGCACGUUUGGUCUUGGAUUCAAACCUAUAGCGGCAUAUGUGAAAAGUACUAAAGGUUGCAACGGAAGAUGUGGGUGAUUCUAAAGCCUGUUCCGCGUCUCUCCGGGUCUUUUGCCACGCCCGGUUCCAGGACACGCCAAUUGACGAUAGUUCCAAGUUAUGUGGUUGACAUUGAUGAGGAGUUAAUUGAAAGGUUCCAGAGGCUAUUUGAUGAUGUGAACAUGGUGGAAGUUUGAAAAGGUUCUAACAAAGCAGACGUGUAGUUCAUCGGGACGAUUGUAAAGCUUAAAAAUUAGAAGGCUACUCUUCUCCCUACCUGGAAGGAGUCUUGGGAGUUUGUUUUGUUUUGCUUUCAAUCUAGGUCAUUCCAGGUUUGUGACCCAUAUUUUUAUUUUUCCUCUUGUUGAUAUACAAAGCCUAUUAUACUUUAUUUUCAAUGAAAUGUAAUUUUCCUUUUCCAUUAUUCCUAAUAGUUUCAUUUGUGUUUUUUCUUUUAUUCUUUGUAAAGUUCUUUUUUGUUGGUUUCAAUGACAUGACAUGCAUGAGGAAUCUUGUACCUAGUUUUCAAAGCCAAUCUAAUUUUGAAAUAAUAAUCCAAAAAAUAGAGUGUGAUGAUGAAUCAGAAUAUGUUGAGGAUAAGGCCUUUGAAGAGAUUAGUAAGAAACAAAGUCAUUUUGAAGAAAAACUUAAGCAUAAUCUGAAUGAAAAGGAAGCAAUCAAUCUAGAGGAUCCAAAUAAAGUCAGAGAAACUAAGAUAAGUGUUCAUCUCGACCGCAAAUUAGGGAAGAUAUAAUUAAGGCAUUGUGAGAGUAUAAGGAUACUUUUGCGUGCUCGUACAUGACAUGCCAAGCUUGAUUAUUCAUUUGGUGGUCCGAAAACUGCCAAUUGAUCCAACAUUUCCUCCCGUUAAGCAAAAGUUGAGAAAGUUAAAAACUGAAACGAGUGUGAAGAUUAAAGAAUAAGUCACGAAGUAGCUUGAUGCAAAAGUCAUUCGAGGCACGCGGUAUCCCACGUGGGUAGCCAAUGUUGUGCUCGUGCCAAAGAAAGAUGACAAGAAUAAAGUGUGUGUUGAUUACCACGACCUCGACAAAGCAAGUCUAAAGGACAACUUUCCACUAUCAAAUAUCCACAUUUUGAUCAUUAAUUGUGCCAAGCAUGAGAUUGGGUCUUUUCUGGAUUACUAUCAUCAGAUUUUAGUAGAUGAGAAAGAUAUGGAAAAGACGGCAUUCAUCACACCGUGGGAAACUGCUACCGAGUCAUACCUUUUAGUUUGAAAAUUACUAGGAAAACUUACAUGAGGGCGAUGAAUACCAUAUUCCAUGACAUGAUACAUAAGGAGAUUGAGGUUUACGUGGAUGAUGUCAUCAUAAAGUAUAGGAAGAAGUCUGACCACGUCAAAGAUUUGAGAAAGUUUUUCCAAAGGCUCCACAGGUACAAUCUUAAGCUUAAUCCGGCAAAGUGCGUAUUUGGUGUUCCAUAGGGGAAAUUGUUGGGAUUCAUAGUCAGUCGGCAGGGCAUUGAAUUGGAUCUGUCAAAGAUCAAAGCUAUCUAGGAAUUUCCACCGGCAAAGAACAAGACCAAAAUGAUGAGUCUGUUACGGAGGCUAAACUACAUCAACAGGUUUAUUUCUCAUAUCACGACAACUUGUGAGCCAAACUUUAAGUCGCUAAAGAAUGAUAUUGCGGUCAAAUAGACUGAUGGGUGCCAGGAAGCAUUUGAUAAGAUAAAGGGGUACUUGUCAAACCCGUUUGUGUUGGUCCUCUAGGAAUUUAGAAGAACUUUGAUUUUUUAUUUAACAGUUUUGGAUAAUCCAUUUGGUUGUAUGUUGGGUCAGCAUGACAUCACUUGCUGGAAAAAGCACGACAUCUAUUAUCUCAGCAAGAAGUUCACAUCUUAUGAGGUUAAGUAUACUUCAUUUGAAAGGACCUGAUGCACCCUGACUUGGGUGGCAUAAAAGUUGAAGCAUUAUCUGUCAUCCUACACUACUUACCUCAUCUCUUGUUUGGAUCCUUUGAAGUAUAUCUUUCAGCACCACAUGCCCACAUGAAGGCUCAUAAAGUGGCAAAUCUUGCUCACAGAGUUUGACAUCAUAUAUGUGACACAGACGGCAAUGAAAACCCAAGAUUUGGCCGACCACUUGGCCGAGAAACCGGUGGAUGAAGAAUAUGAACCUUUGAAGACUUACUUUCCUGAUGAAGAGGUAAUGCACAUUGACAAGGUCGAGAAGGAGGCAAAUCCCGGUUGGAAGUUGUUCUUUAAUGGAGUUGCUAUUAUGAAGGGUGUUGGAAUAGGAGAUGUACUCAUUUCUGAAAAAGAGCAUCACUAUCCUAUCACUACUCAGCUUCGUUUCCAUUGUACCAACAACAUGGACGAGUACGAAGCGUGCAUUGUGGGUUUAAGAUUAGCUGUGGACAUGUGAGUCCAAGAAGUGUUGGUAUUGGGAGAUUUAGAUAUGUUAGUGCAUCAGAUUCAGGGAGAAUGGGAGACCCGAGAUUUGAUACUCAUAUCUUAUAGACAAUGUCUGCCGGAUCUCUGUCGACGGUUCGAAUCAGUGGAGUUCAGGCAUAUCCCUAGGAUCCACAAUGAGGUUGUCGAUGCUUUGGCUACUCUGGCGUCGAUGUUACAUCUCCAGAUAAGGCUUAUGUUGACCAUUUGCAUAUUUAGGUCUACGAUCAGCAUGCUUACUGUAACAUGGUGGAAGAAGAACUUGAUUGUGAGCCUUGGUUCCUCGAUAUCAGGGAGUACAUCAGGUCGGGAGUGUAUCCAGAACAAGUCACAGGGGAUCAAAAGAGAUCAAUUCGACGUUUGGAAAGCUGAUUUUUCUUAAGUGGAGGAGUUUAUUACAAAAGAACUCUAGAUCUUGGAUUGUUGAGAUGUAUAGAUGAUAGACAAGCCACGACUAUCAUAACCGAAGUGCAUUUUGGAGUUGGCGGAGUGCGUAUAAGUGGGUAUGUUCUGGCAAAUAAAUAUCUUCGAGCAAGUUAUUAUUGGCUCACCAUGGAGCAAGAUUGCAUCGGUUUUGUGUGCAAGUGUCAUCAAUGCCAAGUACACGGAGAUUUGAUUCAUUCUCGGCCAUCUGAAUUACACACAAUGUCCGCACCAUGACCAUUUGUUUCUUGGGGUAUGGACGUCAUCGGACCAGUUGAGCCAGCAACAUCCAAUAGGCAUAGGUUCAUUUUGGUGUCCAUUGAUUAUUUCACUAAGUGGGUUGAGGCUAAAAUUUUCAAACCUGUGACAAAGAAGGCAGUGAUCAAUUUUGUGCAUGGAAAUAUCAUUUGUCAGUUGGGAUUCCCAAAGGUGAUCAUCACAGAUAACGGUGCCAAUAUUAACAGUCAUCUGAUGAAAGAGGUCUAUCAAGAGUUUAAGAUUAUGCAUCCCAAUUCCACCCCUUACUGUCCUAAGACAAAUGGAGCAGUCGAGACAUCCAACAAAAAUAUAAAGAAUGUACUUCGGAAAAUGGUGCAAGUUUCCAGGAAAUGGCAUGAAAAGUUACCCUUUGUGUUGUUUGGUUAUCGCACCAAAGUUCGCACUUCAGUACGUACAACUCCUUAUUUGUUGGUAUAUGGCAUAGAAGUAGUGAUACUUGCAGAGGUUGAAAUUCCAUCCCUUCGGAUUAUCGUUGAAGCCGGAAUUGAUGAUGAUGAGUGGGUCAAAACCCGUGUAGAGCAAUUGAGUUCGAUUGAUGAGAAAAGAUUUGCAGCGCCAGUUGUAUCAAAAGAGAAUAGCAAGAGCUUACAGCAAGAAGGUGCAUCCCUGCAAAUUUGAAGUGAGUCACCAAGUAUUGAAACGUAUUUUUCCACAUCAGGCUGAAGCAAAAUGCAAUUUUGCCCCAAAUUGGCAGGGCCGUUCAUCAUAACGAGAGUGUUGUCCAAUAUUAUGUAUUUAACAGACAUAGAAAGCAAAUUUGUAGACAUGACUAUCAAUUCUGAUGCAGUCAAAAGAUAUUAUGUAUGAUUUCUUUGGUUUAAAUUGUGUUUGUUUGUACUUGGAAUGUUUUGAAGAUUGAAAUGACGAAGGCAUUUCGUUCUGUUAUCUAAACACUUUAUCCUUUGUUACCCCUUUGAGCUUAAUUUAUUUCCUUUCAUACCCUCUGUUGGAAUCAAUAGCGAAAUUCAGUAAAUAAGUAAAGAAGAAAAGAGAAGAGAAAAUAAAAGGAAAGAAUGGAAAAGAAUGAAAAGAGAGAAAAGAGAGAGAGAAAAUAAAUAAAUAAAAAGAGAGAGAAAAAAGUACAAAAACAAAGCAAUUCCUAUGAUAUGAACUACGUUCGACUUGAUUCUUUUUAUGGAUAUGUAGGUAGUGUUACACCUCCUUUUUUACAUACACCCUCGCGAGGGCGUGGAUAAGGGAGGUUUUUUGAUUUAAAGGACAAUCGAAACGAGAUUAUAUUAUUAAAGGAUUUAGAGUCGCCACAUGGGAGAUUUAUGGCAUCCCAAGUCACCGGUUCAAAUCCCGAAUCAAGAAAAAGAUUGACUCUUACAGUCCGCGAACCAGAAAUCCAGGUAAGGAAGUAUGUUAACCUAGGAGAAUGUGUUAGGAAUUUCCGAGUUCCAAGGUUCUAGCACGGUCACUAAACUGUUAUAAUUGGCAUAAUUAUCUAAUUUAAAAACAUUUUGAACCUAUGUGAAUUUUUAACUUUGAAACUGUUUUUAUUUAUUUGAAGAAGAUUUGACGUAGUCUAAAAUAUGUCUUUGGGUCACGUCACAUGAAAUGCACCCGAUACCUAAAACAUAUUUUAUUCAACGUUAUAAGGAUUUGGAUUUGGGUCGCAUGAAAUGCACACGCAAGUUUAGGAAAGUAAUAGUCUUAAAGUACGCGCCGAAAGUAACUAUGCGUUUUAGUUUUGCGAGGGCCAUGGAAUUUUGCUAAAUGGCACGCCUCGAGUUCUAAGGAUUAAAUUAAAUUUAAUUAAGCGAGGGCCACGCAUUCGUUAUUUUUUUUGGCACGGCGCACCUCAACCCCAAAUUUAAAAGAAAGAAAGAAAGUUCAAUUUAAACGUUGGAGAGCCAUAAACUAUUUACGUUGUUUAAUUUGGAACACCUUAAUUUCUAAAGAGUUAAAAUUAAUUAGGUGAGGACCAUGAGUUUUAGGAUUUUAUUUGGCAUGGCACGCCUCAAAUUAUUCCAAAAGAUUAUACUCAACUAAAGCAAGCUAUGAGAUUUCAAGGCAUUUUCUUCACUAAGAUAAUUAAUGUGAGGGCCAUAGAGUAGGUGAUUGUACUGUACAACUCAAUUUCAUUAAAGGGAAGUAUUCCACUAAGUGAACUAAGGAUAAUCAUAUUUAAUGGUCAACUAAGAAACAAAAAAAUUAAACUAAUCCAAGUCUAUAGCUACUGAACGUAUACCUCUGUAGUAACUACGAUCCAAUUCCCUGGUUCAAACUUCUUUCUUUAAUCUAAUUAAAUCAACCCAGCAAAUUACGUUAACAAACUCUAAACUGACAUUUUCAUGUGACUUCUCAAGAGAGAGUAACAUAAGCACAUGAGAGCAACCUUUGGUUAAAUAAGAGAGCAAAUAAUUAGGCAGAAUCUCAACAAGCAGUAAUAUCCUGCAUUUAAUCACAUAAACUUUACAACUGAAGGCAUGUAUCGAUAAGCAUGCUAACUGAAUAAAAUGAGAAUGGGAGAAAUGAACCUUUCUCAAGCUUAUGAAUAUAUCUACAAUAACUAGUUGGCUUACAAAGAAGACGGGAAAUUACGCCGACAAGAUUGAGCGCAAAUGAUGUCGUCGGACCAUGUCGGAAACAUUAUGUUUUGACUAUUUGGCGUUGGAGAGGGUGUUGCUGGGCGUUGUUCUUGUUGAAGAAAAUCAAUAGGGUUGUUCCUUAGGUCUUAGCUCUGUUGCGUAGGGUGUGCUAUGGUUGGAAACCAAAAAUCUAGAGAGAUGAAGGGUUCCUCUUAUUUUUGUGGUUUCAGAAGAAGAUGAAUAGGCGUUUGGUAUGGAUCUAUUUUUUUUUUAAGCCAAAGCCAUGAAAAUGGUUGUUUUCUUUUCUAGAAGAAGACCCAUCGGGGAAGAUGACCUUUUUGGGUGUUAUCGGCGCAACUUACUUUUUUCUAUAUUUUUCAGGCAUAUUUUUAGGUAUUUUUUAUUGUAGAGUCUAGGUCUAGGUUUAUAUUUUGUGUAUGUUGCCCAUUAGUCUUUUGUGUUAAGUCCUUAAGGUCUUUUUUAUUUGUUUUUGUUUCAAAGAAGAGUCUAGAAGGACCCCUACACUACACAAUGCAUUUUAAAAUAAGAUAAAAAUACUACACAAUGACAAAACUAAUCCUAAUUAAUUAAACUCAACGUGAAAUUAUUUUUAUGUUUUCUAAAUAAUAUAAAGUUAAAAAUAAGGUACUAUUUUUUGUAUUUAUUAAAAUUUAUGAAAAUACAUAAACUGAGAUAUAUAUUUUUUCUUUUUUUUUUAAAAUUUUCAUUCUUAUGGCGAAAAUGAAGUAAAGAAGUCAAAAAUAGUCGAAAUAGCUAUAUUAGGCCUAAAUUAAAUAUUUACGCCUUAAAAUAAGAAAAUUCUUGGGGAGGGUCAAAAAUCACAUGUCUACAAGCAGCCUCACAAUUCGGUCACCGUCAAAAUAAAAAUCCAAAAGUCUUCGAGCAAAGAAACUGGGAGAGAAGUUGUGGAAAGCUAUCUGAUUUCGAAAGUUGUAAUUUUUAAGCCAUUCAAGCUGUUUUGAGCCUCUGUGAUAAGUUUCCUUUCUAACCCGAUCCAAAAGUCAUAUUACGAUCCAAAGAAAGACAUUCCGAUCAGUUUUCGAGAGAUGCCAAUUCGAGCAACUAGAGGUGAUUCAUCUAUGGGGAAACACUCUGUUCUGAGCAAGAAAAUGAGAAAUGAGAGGGUCUUAUUGGUGAAAAACCUUCACCGGCACCAUAAGACGAUAGAAAACUUAGAGAAAUUAAAAAUGAGAGAGUCUUAUUUAUGAAAACCCUCAUGGGCACCGUAAAGCGACUGUGAAUUGAGAGGUAAAUAAAUGAGAGAGGUUUGUUGGUGAAGACCCUUCAGGGCACCACAAGUCGAACAAGGUCAGUGAUUUGGCGGAGAAAUUGGGCUAUGGAGAUCCUGGGGCACAAAGUUUGAUGACUCAAAGGUGAUUGGUGUGACGGGCCCGGCUGAUUAAUCUAAAUUACAUGUCAUGAUCAUUAGUUCCAACGUCCUUGCUCCGAUAAGUUCCUUUUCAUUUCCUCCCUCAAACAGUCAUUCUGUUUCAGUUUCUCUUCUUUAUUUCUUUACCCUCGAAGUCAUUGCAUUUCAUUUCUUUUGGGUUUAUUUCUCUAAGGUUUUUCCAAAUGUCAGCCUUGUUUAAGAAACUAAGAAAGGAUUUUGAAAGCCUACUACUAACUUCCAAAUUGCACAAAGCAAUGUGCGGCCAAAGAACAUCAGAAAUAGCUUAAUGCAAAAAAGAAAGCUUGGUGCCGAUGAAAGUUCAAGCAGUUGAGUGGUUUGUAAGUUUUGUGGAAGAUACAGAGCUUCAAAUUAGAAGCACAAAAAUAUUUAAUGACGGGUUGAGUGUAUAACACUCGGGUCAUUCAGGGUCAUGCAUUUGAGAUUCAGUCAGAAAGGCAAACAGUUCUUGGCAGUUACGAAGCAGCCAAUCAAAGCAAAGCACGGCAACGAAAGGGCCACCUUCAGCGAGAAUGUUGCAAACUAACCACCACAUUCUUAAAAUGACAAGAUUUUUCUUUGAUUGAAACAGAGGCAGAAAAUUACAUUUGUUUCGGAGAAACUCUCCGUAAGGAAAGCAAGUACCGGAUAUGUUUGACCGUAAAUUCUCAGAACCCUCCUGGACAAUGAGACUUAGUUAAAAUUCAAAAUGUUUAUGAGUAACAAGAUCUAGCAUAAAUUCUACUUUGAGGAAAUAUAAGUUGGUUUUAAUGUUUUCAUUCUUAGGAUGAGACUCAAUUGGGCUCUUUCUAAGACCCUCCUGGAUAAUGGGAUUUAGUUUUAAGUCAUUCAUAGAUAACAAGAUUUAGCGGAAGUCAUAUGUUUAGGAAAUAUAACUUAUCUUUAAAACUGCCAUUUAACUAGGAGUUUUCAGGACCCUCCUAGAUAACAGGAUCUAGCUUUUAAAAUUCUUUGAGAUUUUCUGGUAACAUGAAUCAAUUAACACCAACAGAUGUGCCCAGCUACCAAACUGGGGCAGAAAAUUUCAUUUGUUUUGUAUGUUUUGUUGAAAUCAUGCACCCACCUGGAGACCAAGGGAAGACAACAUGAGUUUCAAGAAUGGAAAGCAGUUCAGGCCCAACCAAUUAGGCAUGCACCUGGAGAAACAAGGGAAGAUGGUUCAAAGAAAAGUAGUUUCAAGAAGGAUACAGUUUAUGUGUUGGAAAGCAGGCACCCAACUGGAGAACAAAUGGAAAGCAACAGUUUUAGAGGAGUUAGUUCGAGUUGGAAAUCAAGCACCACCUGGAGAACAAAGGGAAGAUAGUUCAAGUUUUGGAAAUCAGGCGCCCACCUCGAGAACAAAGGGAAAGUAUUCAAGUUUUGGAAAUCAGGCGCCCACCUCGAGAACUAAGUGAAAGCAAUUCAAGUGUUGGUAAUCAGGCACCCACCUGGAGAACAAAGGGAAGACAGUUCGAGUUGGUAAUCAGGCACCCACGUAGAGAAUAAAGGGAAAGUAAUUCAAGUCUUGGUAAUCAGGCGCACUCCUGGAGAACAAAGAGAAAACAAUUCAAGUGUUAGUAAUCAAGCACCAACCUGGAGAACGAAGGGAAAGCAGUUCAAGUUUAGGUAAUCAGGAGCCCACCUGGAGAACAAAGGGAAAGCAGUUCAAGUGUUAGUAAUCAGGCACCCACCUAGAGAACAAAGGGAAAGCAAUGCAAGUGGUUUUAAUCAAGCACCCACCUGGAGAACAAAAGGAAAGUAGUUCAAGUGUUAGGAAUAAAACGCCCACCUGGAGAACAAAGGGAAGUAGUUCAAAUUAUGAGGAAAAACAGUUCAGGUGUUCGAAAUCAGGCGUACACACCUGGAGAACAAAGGAAAAAUAAUUCAAGUUUCAGAGGAAAGGAAUACAAUUCAUACCACGCAACCCCCAGCCCUUCUAAAUCUUAUCCCCACUUCUAAUUCCCCAAAGUCCCUUUGGAAUUCCAUCAAUUCCAAAUAUAGGAAGUUCAAACCCUAAUUUAUUUUAUUUUUCUGGUUCCACGCAAGUUCUGGCUCGCUUUGACCUAUAACCUAUGUUAGUCAAUUGCUCUUGACCAGAGCAAUCGAUGGCCAUUGGAUUCCGAGGAAGCCCAAUUUCAACGAACUUAUCGGAUUUCGACCAAAUGUUCUACUUCCGUCAUCGUUCAUCGGUUCGUUUCAUUUUGUCAAGACAUUUAGGUGUGAAUUGGUACUUUCCCUUCUUUUUUCUAAUGAUUUUGUACGUUGUAGUAUUUUCUGUUCUUAUUUUAUUUUAUUUUUAUUUUCUUCAUUGCUUUUCCUUAUUUUCUUUAUGUAGUGGAAGUAGUUAAAUUAGGUUUAAUCGUAAGAGUCUAAAUUAUUUAUUUGUUUUUUAUUUUCUGAAUGUGACUUCUUUUUGUUUGAUCAUCUCUGAUUUUUGUGUUUUUGUAUUGACUGUGGUCAUCAUUGAUCCGGCUAAGAGACCCGUUCAUUGGGGUCAUGGGUUAAUUUGAUCCAGGUUGCCAUUCUGAAUGUAAAAAAAAGGAUGUCAAGAGGUGUUUUAGAAAUUUGAGGUUUGAGGGAAACAUUUUCUAUUACGAGAAAAUUUCUAUAGGAUGAGAUAAGAGCCGGUUUGUUAAGAGCAGGGGGUUUCAAAUAUUUUAAGGAGGUAAAAAGGGAAAAACAACCAAGAACUUAAAGGUAGAAAGGGAAUUGGUUGGCUGGACUAGGGUUGCCUUAGGCAUGCUUAUAUAUGACCUCUUUUCCUUCACUUUUUAAAGUAGCCUUUCAUACUCUAGAAAUACUGAAAAUUUCCUGCAUUUUGUUGGUUAAAACUUGCUUUGGUUCUGCUCUUGAUCUUCAUAGAUAGUCAGAAUUUUUUAAACUUUCAAAGAAUUUUCGUUGUCUGGGUUAUAAAUGGUCUAAGAAAACUGAGAUUACAAGUGUUGUAUUGUUGAUUUACACUCUCAUGUUGUUGCUGAUUUCUUUUUUUCUUUGUUUGCUCUAAACUUUGUCACGGGUAUCUCUUGGACCUUAUCAAAUGUGAAGCUCAAACUUGAAGCAUGUUAAUUGAAUGUGGAGACAUGAGCAUUAGUAUAAAUUUGAUGCAAUUUAGAAUCUAUCUUUGUUUUAUGCAUUUUAGUAGUUUAUUCUGUAAUUUGUUCUUGUACUCACUCAAUCUAUUGAUAAUAUGUUCCAUGCUAGGUUUGUAUUUGGACUUUAACUUAGCAUGAUAUUGGUUUGGCUAAAACUUUCCUUGUUAAGCAUAUAAUGUCUGGGCUGUUGUAAAGGGUUUUGGGACUCAUCUUGAUGGGUUUUGUUUUGUUCAAGUUAGUAGUGAAGUUCAGCUCGAGAUUAACUCCUAUCAUGACUGUUGUUUUGGGAUCUUGUUUGUAGUACUUGAAUAAAUCUAGGAACCACUGUUGCAUUAUAAUACUUAGUUCAAUGUUUGAGGUAUUUGAUUAUACAUAUGAAUUCAGUGGUAGCUUAUUAGUAGUUUCAAUUCUCAAAUAUAUGUGGCCUGCAACUAAUUUCAACAAAAUGAUCUCCAUGUUUAAUAUUGUCCGUAUGUGCCUAAGGCAAUAAGUUUAGAAAUGGGCCUGUUGAGUUAGCUUGCCUAAUACGAGGCCCAAAACUGUCAAUCCAGUUCUCUUUAGGUCUUCGGCCCAAUCUCAGGCCCAAGGGUCUUUUGCCUUGGCAUAUCAUGUGGCCGUUUGGAUUCAUAUACUAGAAUGCAUUUUUGUUUUCUCCUUUUGUCUUCAUCUAGGUUCGAACUCGGCCCUAACUUGUUAAGUGUUUUGUAUGAUGGCUAUGAAAUAUGCCCCUUCUUUGUUGGGAUUUCAAGGUUGGCCCAGUACCGACCAAAUCAGUUGGGCUUUACCCUCCCUGUCUCCCGUUUGGUUUUGUCUAAGCCCAAGCCCCAUUAGCCUAUUUGCUCUAGUUAUUUCUGCUGAAAUUUAGGUUUGUAAUUGGCCCCCGAAAAUAGUUCAAGGACUAGCAUGUAUCUCAAGUCUUUUACCGGCAGUUCAAAUUUGCCCUCUUCUUUAAAAAUAAGAGUGUCUUGGGAUUUAACUCUUUCUUAACUAAUAAAUUGAGGUGUGCUAUUUAAACCAAAUCACCUAUGGCCCUCACAAACACAUUCGCGUGACAUAAUUACAAUUCUAAAAACCAAUUCGGGGUAUACAUUCGUGCAACUUUAAUCAGAUUUUUCUUAAUAAUAAUUGAUU
rnacentral:lncRNA from 1 species